GAUGAAGAACGUAGUGAAAUGCGAUAAGUAAUGUGAAUUGCAGAAUUCAGUGAAUCAUCGAAUCUUUGAACGCACAUUGCGCCCCCCGGCAUUCCGGGGAGCAUGCCUGUUCGAGCGUCAUUACGCCCCUCAAGUCCCCUGUGGACUUGGUGUUGGGGAUCGGCGAGGCUGGUUUUCCAGCACAGCCGUCCCUUAAAUUAAUUGGCGGUCUCGCCGUGGCCCUCCUCUGCGCAGUAGUAAAACACUCGCAACAGGAGCCCGGCGCGGUCCACUGCCGUAAAACCCCCCAACUUUUUAUAGUUGACCUCGAAUCAGGUAGGACUACCCGCUGAACUUAAGCAUAUCAAUAAGCGGAGGA
rnacentral:misc_RNA from 1 species